rnacentral:rRNA from 1 species
AACGAACGCUGGCGGCAGGCUUAACACAUGCAAGUCGAACGCCCCGCAAGGGGAGUGGCAGACGGGUGAGUAACGCGUGGGAAUCUACCCAGUUCUACGGAACAACUGAGGGAAACUUCAGCUAAUACCGUAUACGCCCUACGGGGGAAAGAUUUAUCGGAAUUGGAUGAGCCCGCGUUGGAUUAGCUAGUUGGUGAGGUAACGGCUCACCAAGGCGACGAUCCAUAGCUGGUCUGAGAGGAUGAUCAGCCACACUGGGACUGAGACACGGCCCAGACUCCUACGGGAGGCAGCAGUGGGGAAUAUUGGACAAUGGGCGCAAGCCUGAUCCAGCCAUGCCGCGUGAGUGAUGAAGGCCUUAGGGUUGUAAAGCUCUUUCAGUGGGGACGAUAAUGACGGUACCCACAGAAGAAGCCCCGGCUAACUUCGUGCCAGCAGCCGCGGUAAACUAGUCUAG